rnacentral:rRNA from 1 species
GACGAACGCUGGCGGCGUGCUUAACACAUGCAAGUCGUACGGUAAGGCCCUUUCGGGGGUACCCGAGUGGCGAACGGGUGAGUAACACGUGAGUAACCUUCCCACAACUUUUGUAUAACGCUAGUAAACUGGUGCUAAUACUGGUUAUGUCCCACUGCUCCUUCGUGGGGGUUGGAAAGCUCCGGGGGUUGUGGGUGGACUCGCGGGCUAUAAGCGUGUUGGCGGGGUAGUGGCUUACCAACGCGGCGACGGGUAGCCCGCCUGAGGGGGUGAGAGGCGGCAUUGAGACUUAGAGGCGGCCCAGACUGGUACGGGUGGAAGAUGUGGGGAAUAUUGCACAAUGGGCGCAGGCCUGGUGAAGCAACGCCGCGUGCGGGAUAACGGCCUUCGGGUUGUAGACCAGUUGCAGCAGGGACGAAGCUUGUUGUGACGGUACCUAAAGAAGAAGCACCGGCUAACUACGUG